rnacentral:rRNA from 1 species
GUCUACGGCCACACCACCCUGAACGUGCCCGAUCUCAUCUCCUCUCGGAAGCUAAGCGGGGUUGGGCCUGGUUAGUACUUGGAUGGGAGAAUUAUCUGGGGUUUGCUAAGAGAGCAGAAUCCUGGGCC